AGAGUUUGAUCCUGGCUCAGGAUGAACGCUGGCGGCGUGUCUAAGGCAUGCAAGUCGAAUGCGCGUAAUGGCGCAUGGCAAACGGGAGAGUAACACUUUGGUAAUCUACCUCUUACUCAGGAAUAACCUAUCGAAAGAUAGAAUAAUACCUGAUAGUCUUAUUAAACAUAAGUUUAAUAAGUAAAGAUUUUUCGGUAAGAGAGGAGCCUGAGGCUUAUCAGCUAGUUGGUAGGAUAACAGCCUACCAAGGCUAUGACGAGUAGCGGGUGUGAGAGCAUGACCCGUCUCACUGGGACUGAGACACUGCCCAGACACCUACGGGUGGCUGCAGUCAAGAAUCUUCCACAAUGCACGAAAGUGUGAUGGAGCGACGCCGCGUGAACGAUGAAGCCUUUAGGGGUGUAAAGUUCUUUUCUUAGUGAAAAAUUUUUGAUGUUAGCUAAGGAAUAAGGGGCUGCUAACUACGUGCCAGCAGCAGCGGUAAUACGUAGGCCCCGAGCGUUAUCCGGUUUUAUUGGGCGUAAAGAGUCUGUAGGUGGUUUAUUAAGUCAAAUGUCAAAUAUCUCGGCUCAACUGAGAAAAGGUGUUUGAUACUGAUAAACUAGAGGACGGGAGAGGCAAGUGGAAUUGGUGGUGUAGUCGUUAUAAGCGUUAAUAUCACCAGGAACACCAAAUGCGA
rnacentral:rRNA from 1 species